UCUCUGAUAGUAUAUCGGUUAGUACACGCGCCUGUCAUUGGGACGCGCGAAAGCUGGGUUCGACUCCCAGUCAGAGAG